GAGAAAAGUCCAACACUGUAGUUUAACUCUUAAAAAAGGCUUAAGAAAUGGCUCUAACAGCAUCAUCUCAGUUCACUCUGGGGCAGAGGAUACCUGAAGAUCACUGGGAAAGUUACCUUUCACCUCACUGAGGAGUGCAGGUAGGGAGAAUAUAUAAGUGGAGAUUUCUGCUGGUUACCCAGUUAGGCUAUAGGACCUGCCUUUCACUGAGGAACCUUUGGGUAUCCACUAGAGAGUUGCCCUGGCCAUGACCUCUCCAUUGCCCUCUCUGUUUCCUCUGAUCCAUGCAGCCAGAAGUCUGUCUCCAGAAAGGAAUCCAGCUGACUGGUGAACAUGCUGUUGGCCAUUUGUUUCAGUGGGGAUUCACCAAAAGUAAAGUACAAAAUGACAAGAAAAGAUCAGAAAUGAGAUCAGAGAAAGGAAGCCUUAUCUUCUCAUGGCGAGUUAUGGAGACAACUUACCCGUAAAUCAUCACUCUCAGCCUGGAAAGGCAAGAAUGGGGAACCUCAAGAGCUC
rnacentral:lncRNA from 1 species